rnacentral:rRNA from 1 species
AUUGAACGCUGGCGGCAUGCCUUACACAUGCAAGUCGAACGGUAACAGGUCUUCGGAUGCUGACGAGUGGCGAACGGGUGCGUAAUACAUCGGAACGUGCCCGAUCGUGGGGGAUAACGGAGCGAAAGCUUUGCUAAUACCGCAUACGAUCUACGGAUGACAGCAGGGGACCGCAAGGCCUUGCGCGGACGGAGCGGCCGAUGGCAGAUUAGGUAGUUGGUGGGAUAAAAGCUUACCAAGCCGACGAUCUGUAGCUGGUCUGAGAGGACGACCAGCCACACUGGGACUGAGACACGGCCCAGACUCCUACGGGAGGCAGCAGUGGGGAAUUUUGGACAAUGGGCGAAAGCCUGAUCCAGCCAUGCCGCGUGCAGGAUGAAGGCCUUCGGGUUGUAAACUGCUUUUGUACGGAACGAAAAGACUCUUUCUAAUAAAGAGGGUCCAUGACGGUACCGUAAGAAUAAGCACCGGCUAACUACGUG